AGAUGGCGGAGGUGCAGGUCUUGGUGCUCGAUGGUCAAGGCCAUCUCCUGGGCCGCCUGGCAGCCAUCGUGGCUAAGCAGGUACUGCUGGGCGGGAAGGUGGUGGUCGUUCGCUGCGAGGCUGUCAGUAUUUCUGGCAAUUUCUACAGAAACAAGUUGAAGUACCUGGCUUUCCUCCACAAGCGGAUGAACACCAACCCUUCCCGAGGCCUCUACCACUUCCGGGCCCCCAGCCACAUCUUCUGGUGGACCGUGCAAGGCAUGCUGCUUCACAAGACCAAGCAAGGCCAGGCCGCCUUGGACCUCCUCAGGGUGUUUGACGGCAUCUCACCGCCCCAUACGACAAGAAAAAGCGGAUGGUGGUUCCUGCGGCCCUCAAGGUCGUGCGUCCGAAACCUUCAAGGAAAUUUGCCUAUCUGGGGCGCCUGGCUCACAAGGUUGGCUGGAAGCACCAGGAAGUGACAACCACCCUGGAGGAGAAGAGGAAGGAGAAAGCCAAGAUCCAGUACCGAAAGAAGAAACAGCUCAUGAGGCUACGGAAACAAACCAAGAAGAACGUGGAGAAAAAAAUUGACAAAUACACAGAGGUCCUCAAGACCCAUGGACUCCUGGUCUGAGCCCAAUAAAGACUGUUAAUUCCUCAUGCUUGGCCUGGCCUGCUUUCCUCCAUCGUCACCCUGGAGUGUGCGGGACCCCAGGGCAACAGCAGUCCGGUUGCCACAGGCAGCCUGGGACAUAAGAAGCUCGGAGCAAGGAAAGGGUCUAGUCACUGCCUGCCGAGGUUGCUUGAAAGCACCCAGAAUUGUGCAGGUGUCAUUUAUCUAUGAGCAAUAGGAACAGCAACCAGUUACUAUUAGCAAAAGGAUCUGGAAGACUAAUUGGAGGGGCCUUAGUUGUGAGUGGGGCGUCUGUCUAACUUUCACCUGGUCAUGCACUAUACUCUGCAGCUGUUAGAAUGUGCACGUGCUUGGGAACAGCAUGAGCUUGCUGUUGUACAAAGGGUAUUUAUAGAAGCAUAGACUGGGAAGAUGGGCAUCUCGGGGGUUACAGACAAUGCCCAUGAUCCUCACCUGUGUUUUGUGAUCAGAGUCAAAUAAAUUACUUUUAAAGAAAAAA